AUACGGAGGAUCCAAGCGUUAUCCGGAAUCAUUGGGUUUAAGGGUUCGUAGGCGGGUUUAUAAGUCAGUGGUGAAAGUUUGCGGCUCAACCGUAAAAUUGCCAUUGAUACUGUAGAUCUUGAAUUAGUGUGAAGUGAUUAGAAUAAGUAGUGUAGCGGUGAAAUGCAUAGAUAUUACUUAGAAUACCAAUUGCGAAGGCAGGUCACUAACACUAUAUUGACGCUGAGGGACGAAAGCGUGGGGAGCGAACAGGAUUAGAAACCCUAGUAGUCC
rnacentral:rRNA from 1 species